AGCUUGCCAAAUUCAUCCCUGGAUCUCCAGACAUUACUAGAAGUUGUGUAACUCUAGUGCUAAUUUAACAUUGAAAUAAUAGCAAGCAGAAGAAGAAAGACAAUAAAGAAAGAUCACUCAUUUAAGAGUCAAGAAUUAACUUGAAGGCUCCUGGAUCUUCUACCUUUCUGCCUUUACAGUGAGACUAGGGGAUAAAUAACCAACAAACUAAUGUGCUGAAGCUGACCAGACUAAGGACACCAGCCAGAUGAAUACCUGCAACAAUCUGUGCAGUCUUCAGGCAACUUGCAGAAAGAAUUAACACCAUGCUGUGCAGCAAAGCACUACCUCAUGUGCUGCGAGAGCUAAAACCUACAGUAGGUCCUCUGAAGCGGUCUGUCAAUUAAAAGCACUGAUACCAAUAAAUAUUUAAAUAAUACUAUUAUAGUAA